GGCGUGCUUAACACAUGCAAGUCGAACGAAGCGGUUACAGGGAUUCCCUUCGGGGAGGAACGGUAACUGUCUGAGUGGCGGACGGGUGAGUAACGCGUGGGCAACCUGCCCCAUACCGGGGGAUAACAGCCGGAAACGGCUGCUAAUACCGCAUACGCCAAGGAGGCUGCAUAGCUUCCUGGGGAAAACUCCGGUGGUAUGGGAUGGGCCCGCGUCUGAUUAGCUCGUUGGCGGGGUAACGGCCCACCAAGGCGACGAUCAGUAGCCGGCCUGAGAGGGCGGCCGGCCACAUUGGGACUGAGACACGGCCCAGACUCCUGCGGGAGGCAGCAGUGGGGAAUAUUGCACAAUGGGGGAAACCCUGAUGCAGCGACGCCGCGUGAGCGAUGAAGUAUCUCGGUAUGUAAAGCUCUAUCAGCAGGGAAGAAAGUGACAGUACCUGACUAAGAAGCCCCGGCUAACUACGUGCCAGCAGCCGCGGUAAUACGUAGGGGGCAAGCGUUAUCCGGAUUCACUGGGCGUAAAGGGAGCGCAGGCGGCACGGCAAGUCUGGUGUGAAAACCCGGGGCUCAACCCCGGGACUGCAUUGGAAACUGCCGGGCUGGAGUGUCGGAGGGGUAAGCGGAAUUCCUAGUGUAGCGGUGAAAUGCGUAGAUAUUAGGAGGAACACCAGUGGCGAAGGCGGCUUACUGGACGAUGACUGACGCUGAGGCUCGAAAGCGUGGGGAGCAAACAGGAUUAGAUACCCUGGUAGUCCACGCCGUA
rnacentral:rRNA from 1 species